GCUGGGUGUGGUGGUGGGCACCUGUAGUCCCAGCUACUUGGGAGGCUGAGGCAGGAGAAUUGCUUGAACCUGGGAGGCAGAGGUUGCAGUGAGCUAAGAUCACACCACUGCACUCCAGCCUGGGUAACAGAGCAAGACUCUGUCUCAA
rnacentral:SRP_RNA from 1 species